rnacentral:rRNA from 1 species
AUGGCCCGCGGUGAUGAGCUCCACGCCAUCAAAUACCUCCCACUAAAACUAAAAGGGCCAGCACAGCACUGGCUGAAUAGCCUCCCUGAGAACUCCAUCGGCAGCUGGGAAGACUUGGAAGACACCUUCUGCAAUAACUUCCAAGGUACAUAUGUUCGGCCUCCGGACGCCGAUGACCUAAGUGACAUCAUCCAGCAGCCCGGGGAGUCUGCCAGGAAGCUCUGGACUAGGUUCUUAAUCAAAAAGAACCAAAUUGUCGAUUGUCCAGACGCCGAAGCCCUCACGGCCUUUAAACAUAGCGUCUGA